CCUACGGGUGGCAGCAGUGAGGAAUAUUGGUCAAUGGACGAGAGUCUGAACCAGCCAAGUAGCGUGAAGGAUGACUGCCCUAUGGGUUGUAAACUUCUUUUAUAUGGGAAUAAAAUGUUCCACGUGUGGGAUUUUGUAUGUACCAUAUGAAUAAGGAACGGCUAACUCCGUGCCAGCAGCAGCGGUAAUACGGAGGAUCCGAGCGUUAUCCGGAUUUAUUGGGUUUAAAGGGAGCGUAGGUGGAUUGUUAAGUCAGUUGUGAAAGUUUGCGGCUCAACCGUAAAAUUGCAGUUGAAACUGGCAGUCUUGAGUACAGUAGAGGUGAGCGGAAUUCGUGGUGUAGCGGUGAAAUGCUUAGAUAUCACGAAGAACUCCGAUUGCGAAGGCAGUUCACUGGACUGCAACUGACACUGAGGCUCGAAAGUGUGGGUAUCAAACAGGAUUAGAUACCCGUGUAGUC
rnacentral:rRNA from 1 species